rnacentral:rRNA from 1 species
AACGAACGCUGGCGGCAGGCCUAACACAUGCAAGUCGAGCGCCCUGCAAGGGGAGCGGCGGACGGGUGAGUAACGCGUGGGAAUUUUUCCUGGAGUACGGAACAACCGAGGGAAACUUCGGCUAAUACCGUAUGAUGCCGAGAGGCCAAAGAUUUAUCGCUCUGGGGUGAGCCCGCGUCAGAUUAGGUAGUUGGUGGGGUAAAGGCCUACCAAGCCUGCGAUCUGUAGCUGGUCGAGAGGACGAUCAGCCACACUGGGACUGAGACACGGCCCAGACUCCUACGGGAGGCAGCAGUGGGGAAUCUUGCGCAAUGGGCGAAAGCCUGACGCAGCCAUGCCGCGUGAGUGAAGAAGGUCUUAGGAUUGUAAAGCUCUUUCGCUCGUGACGAUGAUGACGGUAACGAGAG